rnacentral:tRNA from 1 species
GUCCCAGUAGUAUAACCUAUUACCCUGGUCUUGUAAACCAAAAAUGAGGCUUUAACGCUUCCUAGGACA